UUUGAAACCCUUCAAAAGGUAAUCCAUUUGAGGGUAAAACCCAUUCAUCUCGACAAUCAUGUGUGAGCUCACUUCACCAGGUAUGACAGAGAAGAAGGCACUACUCUGUUUGAUGCUGACAGCUCAUCAUUUUAUCUUGGCGAUGUGGCAUCUGUCUGAAAGAAAGAAGCAAAGGUUACAAAACGCC